GUCUGAGGAUCACAGAGCAGGCUAACUUUUUCCAUGUUUGUAUUUUCCAUUUCAUCGUGGAGCCCCAGUCACAAGUCCAGACAGAUGCAGUUGGAUCCUUUGGGGCUUGCAACGUGCUGUCAGUGUUUUCCAUUUGAGUGA
rnacentral:lncRNA from 14 species